AACGGAUCCGUAACCUUGAGAUAAGGAUUGGCUCUGAGGACUGAGCCGGUCGGGCUGGGGACCUGAAGCAGGAACGGCACUGCACCGGGACUGGGCGGGGCUCGCCGUUCACGCGGCGCGGCCAAGCCCGGACCAGCGUCGGGACCUUCCUGUGGAAAGCCUCAGCUGCGCGGCGUCCGAGGGCUUCGUGCCCAAAGUGCUAUGCUUCGGCCGGCAAAAAACAGUCAACUCAGAACUGGCACGGACCGGGGGAAUCCGACUGUCUAAUUAAAACAAAGCAUUGCGAUGGCCGCUGGUCGGUGUUGACGCAAUGUGAUUUCUGCCCAGUGCUCUGAAUGUCAACGUGAAGAGAUUCAUCAAAGCGCGGGUAAACGGCGGGAGUAACAAUGACUCCUAGAAAAGUGGCGACCGAGUGGUCGCCACUCCAAGCCCAGGUGUGGGGUCUGGUGAACCCUCACG
rnacentral:ncRNA from 1 species